AGAGUUUGAUCCUGGCUCAGGAUGAACGCUGGCGGUAUGCUUUACACAUGCAAGUCGUACGGGAGUUUUUAACUCAAGUGGCGGACGGGUGAGUAACACGUAAGAAUUUACCUUUAGGAGGGGGAUAAGACUUGAACGGUUGUUAAUACCCCAUAUGCUUUCGAGUGAAAUGGAUUUUUCCGCCUAGAGAGAAGCUUGCGGCUGAUUAGCUUGUUGGUGAGGUAAUGGCUCACCAAGGCGACGAUCAGUAUCUGGUUUGAGAGGACGAUCAGACACACUGGAACUGAGACACGGUCCAGACUCCUACGGGAGGCAGCAGUGGGGAAUUUUCCGCAAUGGGCGAAAGCCUGACGGAGCAAUACCGCGUGAGGGAUGACGGCCUAUGGGUUGUAAACCUCUUUUUUCAGGGAGGAAUCAAUGACGUGUACCUGAAGAAUAAGCAUCGGCUAACUCCGUGCCAGCAGCCGCGGUAAGACGGAGGAUGCAAGUGUUAUCCGGAAUCACUGGGCGUAAAGCGUCUGUAGGUGGUUUAAUAAGUCAACUGUUAAAUCUCGAGGCCCAACCUCGAAAUCGCAGUCGAAACUAUUAGACUAGAGUAUAGUAGGGGUAAAGGGAAUUUCCAGUGGAGCGGUGAAAUGCGUAGAGAUUGGAAAGAACACCGAUGGCGAAGGCACUUUACUGGGCUAUUACUAACACUCAGAGACGAAAGCUAGGGUAGCAAAUGGGAUUAGAUACCCCAGUAGUCCUAGCUGUAAACAAUGGAUACUAGAUGUUGAACAGAUCGACCUGUGCAGUAUUAAAGCUAACGCGUUAAGUAUCCCGCCUGGGAAAGUAUGCUCGCAAGAGUGAAACUCAAAGGGAAUUUGACGGGGGCCGCACAAGCGGUGGAGCAUGUGGUUUAAUUCCGAUGCCACGCGAGAUCUUUACAGGUUGACAUGAUACGAUUCUUGAAAGAGAAGUGCGGUUGACCGUAUACACAGGUGAUGCAUGUCUGUCGUCAGUCUCGGUCAUGAGAUGCUGGGUUAAGUUCCGGCA
rnacentral:rRNA from 1 species